rnacentral:rRNA from 1 species
UACGAAGGGGGGCUAGCGUUGUUCGGAAUCACUGGGCGUAAAGCGCACGUAGGCGGAUCUUUAAGUCAGAGGUGAAAUCCCAAGGCUCAACCUUGGAACUGCCUUUGAUACUGGGUAUCUUGAGUAUGGAAGAGGUAAGUGGAAUUGCGAGUGUAGAGGUGAAAUUCGUAGAUAUUCGCAGGAACACCAGUGGCGAAGGCGGCUUACUGGUCCAUAACUGACGCUGAGGUGCGAAAGCGUGGGGAGCAAACAGGG